GUUGCACAAUGUGCCGCUGGCAGGGCUCUGCUAACUUGGGGAGCCACCCAGUCUUUUUAGGAUUUCCAGGAAGAGCGCUGGCAUCUGACCUUCAACUGUUAUUAAAAGAAAUCAAAGGUUGUGUAACAGUCUGUCAGAGCUUUGCGUUUCUUAGGGGAGUUGUGUUUCAGCAAAUGCCUCCACAUUUCUGAGCUUCCCCGGUUCUUUAUUCCUUUGCUUGUUUAUCCUCUGGUAAUGCUUGCUAACAGCAAAAUGUGACCUUCACUCUUGUUCUGGAGCUAUCAGCAUGUGGCCUUCCUGCCCACAGAGCUGCUCACUUCGGUUUUGCAUAGUUCCGUGUCAGGGCGUCGGAUGCUAGAGGACUUACCUCACCUUUUAGAGAUUUACACAGAUGUCUUCUCACGGACCAUUACUUCUGCAAAUGCAUAUGCCCUGUUUUUGGCAACAAAAUUGGAAUCUUCUGCUCUGGAGAGACCACCAGUGCAUGGGUGAGGAUGUGGUGAGACUGCUGGAAGAUGCCUUCAGCAUUUGACUCAUAUCUGACUGUUUUCUUAAAUUAGCAAUAUCUAUUUUCCUGAAUAAACAUAAUGAGGCACCUCACAUAUAUUU